rnacentral:rRNA from 1 species
UAGAGUUUGAUCCUGGCUCAGGAUGAACGCUAGCGACAGGCUUAACACAUGCAAGUCGAGGGGCAGCGGGGAGGUAGCAAUACUUCCGCCGGCGACCGGCGCACGGGUGAGUAGCACGUAUGGAACCUGCCCGUAGCAGGGGGAUAAGCGGAAGAAAUUCCGUCUAAUACCGCGUAAUAACUCCGAGAGGCAUCUCAUGGAGUUUAAAGGGUAAUACCGGCUACGGAUGGCCAUGCGGCGCAUUAGCUAGUUGGCGGGGUAACGGCCCACCAAGGCGACGAUGCGUAGGGGUUCUGAGAGGAAGGUCCCCCACACUGGUACUGAGACACGGACCAGACUCCUACGGGAGGCAGCAGUGAGGAAUAUUGGUCAAUGGGCGCGAGCCUGAACCAGCCAAGUCGCGUGAGGGAAGACGGUCCUAUGGAUUGUAAACCUCUUUUGUCGGGGAGCAAAAGGCGCCACGUGUGGCGUUCCGAGAGUACCCGAAGAAAAAGCAUCGGCUAACUCCGUGCCAGCAGCCGCGGUAAUACGGAGGAUGCGAGCGUUAUCCGGAUUUAUUGGGUUUAAAGGGUGCGCAGGCGGAAGAUCAAGUCAGCGGUAAAAUUGAGAGGCUCAACCUCUUCGAGCCGUUGAAACUGGUUUUCUUGAGUGAGCGAGAAGUAUGCGGAAUGCGUGGUGUAGCGGUGAAAUGCAUAGAUAUCACGCAGAACUCCGAUUGCGAAGGCAGCAUACCGGCGCUCAACUGACGCUCAUGCACGAAAGUGUGGGUAUCGAACAGGAUUAGAUACCCUGGUAGUCCACACAGUAAACGAUGAAUACUAAUUGUUCGGGGAGAAUGAUCCCUGAGUGAUACAGCGAAAGCGUUAAGUAUUCCACCUGGGGAGUACGCCGGCAACGGUGAAACUCAAAGGAAUUGACGGGGGCCCGCACAAGCGGAG